rnacentral:snRNA from 1 species
GUGCUCAUUUUAGCAGCACCGAAAUUAGAAUGUAACAAAGCAGAUUAGCAUGGCCUCUGCACAAGGAGGACACACAAAUUCAUAAAGCAUUCCAUAUCUCU